rnacentral:rRNA from 1 species
CACGUAGGGUGCGAGCGUUGUCCGGAAUUAUUGGGCGUAAAGAGCUCGUAGGCGGUGUGUCGCGUCGGCCGUGAAAACCUGCAGCUUAACUGUGGGCUUGCGGUCGAUACGGGCAUCACUGGAGUUCGGCAGGGGAGACUGGAAUUCCUGGUGUAGCGGUGGAAUGCGCAGAUAUCAGGAGGAACACCGGUGGCGAAGGCGGGUCUCUGGGCCGUAACUGACGCUGAGGAGCGAAAGCGUGGGGAGCGAACAGG